AACGGUAUCAUUACUGAAUGCAGUAGAUGCCAGGAUAUUAGCUUUGUAAUUUUCACCUGAAAUCGUUGUAUAAUCACACCAGCUUACUCACCUUCUUUUUAUUGGCCAUUUUUUUUCUUGCUCUCACACAGUAAUAAGUUAAUUUAAUGUAUUUUCCCUCCUUCCAAUUUUUAUUUGAUAAAACAAGAAAUCAAGUGAGUCAGAAGAAUAUUCAAGAACACCCACUUUUUAAAAACUCUCCCGUACUUGGCAAGGAUUUACACACAAUUUGGUUGCAAAUUCAGAAAACAAAUUCUGCUUAAUUCUAGGAAAAUAAUAACACUCAGGUAAUUCCACUGGUAUUAUUCAGUUGGACGCUUUUUCCCCCUCCCUGGCACCGAAGCGGCUGCCGGGGCGCGCUCGGCGGCUGCGCUCCAAGGCGCCGGCUGCCAUGAUUGCGGGCAGCGGGACGCGCGCGCACGCUCGGGCCCGGCUCCGGGACCCUCCGCGGACCGACAGUCGCGGCCUGCCCGCAGCCCUGUGCGCGCUGCGGGCAGCGCGAGGGUCUCCCGGCUUAUUUCCGUGGGACCAGUGUGUAUCGUGGAGCUCUAGACCAGGCACUAGGACAGUACUCGUGGCCGACAGUGGCAGUGGCUUUCCCCAGGGCAAGUCGCGCGCACGGGCGCCCAGCAGCCUCUUCCCGGACACCACCGGCCCCGCGGAGCAAGGGGCGCGGUACCCUUUGGGCUGUGGUGGAGCGGAUCCGGCGAGCGGGAGUGGGAGGACAGCGCACUAUGCCGGAGAUGCAAAUGAUAAGCAUGAAAAGCCACCGAGAUUUCCAACCAAAACUGGUUUACCAUCUGACAUUCUGAAUCUGGGAUCUUUAUCCUUCUUCAGUAAUGCACUUGCAGCAUCCGCAGAAGAGGUUUUAAAUACCAAGCAAGAGAGGCCAGAAGCACAGGCACUGACCAAAUGUCCAAGAAGGAGAUGGUCUUCUUUCCUCAUGCUGCCAGUUUAAGGGACAAAAACCACUUCUUAAGUCCACACGAAAUCUUGAGCUCUUUAUGCCCUGGUUGUGUGAGUAAGUAUAUAUGUUUGAUUAGGGACUCCAUC
rnacentral:lncRNA from 1 species